AUACAGAGGGUGCAAGCGUUAAUCGGAUUUACUGGGCGUAAAGCGCGCGUAGGUGGCUAAUUAAGUCAAAUGUGAAAUCCCCGAGCUUAACUUGGGAAUUGCAUUCGAUACUGGUUAGCUAGAGUAUGGGAGAGGAUGGUAGAAUUCCAGGUGUAGCGGUGAAAUGCGUAGAGAUCUGGAGGAAUACCGAUGGCGAAGGCAGCCAUCUGGCCUAAUACUGACACUGAGGUGCGAAAGCAUGGGGAGCAAACAGGAUUAGAUACCCUGGUAGUCCAUGCCGUAAACGAUGUCUACUAGCCGUUGGGGCCCUUGAGGCUUUAGUGGCGCAGCUAACGCGAUAAGUAGACCGCCUGGGGAGUACGGUCGCAGGACUAAAACUCAAAUGAAUUGACGGGG
rnacentral:rRNA from 1 species